rnacentral:lncRNA from 1 species
GAGAUUUGGAUUGUACAGUUUCAUCUGACAACUAUGUUGGAAUUCAACUUUUUAGCAGAAGUCAGAAAGCAACUGUUCUUUCAACCAAACUGUUUUUUUCUCAAGAAUACACCAGCAAUCUCUGAAGCAUUUUCAUUUGACCACUUUUUUUAGAAGGGGCUCGUAAGCUUGUGUUAUACUAAAGCUUAGCUCCUCAAGCAAACUGGUGUUUUCCCUUUUUGUUAUCAGUAGAGGACUUUCAUUGUUGCUUUUUUUCUUCAGUAGAGUUUUUGAAAUCUGCAGGGGCUUUUCUGUUUUUCUUUUGUUUUGCUCUUUUUUGCUUUUUUUUAAAGAAAGUUUUUAAAUGUUCAUUUAGUAAUGGAGUCAAAGUGGAACCAGGAAGGCAAUUCUUAAAAAAAAAAAAAUUGUCCAAAACUAAAAUUCCUGACCUUAAUGGAAAAUAAAAAAUUUUACCAUUAAAUCAUGAGACAAAUGCAGUUAGGAUAUAUCAGCUAUCAAAGUGCAGAAAUCAAGUCUCCAUGAGAAAUAAACCUUUGCUGCUGGAUUCUUUCACUAUGAUGGCAGAAAAUCAAGACUUGGAGGAGACUGUUAUAUAAAGUUUCUCUAACAUUCAUUACAUUUAUCUAAGGACUCUAUCAGAUACUUUCAGUGUGGUCUCUCCUAAGUUCAUUGAAAUUCAAAAUAAUUAAUUGAAGUAAAGCCCUGCAUUUGUGCAUGCGUUCUGAGCAAUUAAGUGGAGUGAAACACAUGUAUUGCUAAUCUUGCAUGCUGUGAUUAAGAUAGAAAUGAAGACGUCCAUCAAACGAGAUUACUUCUUCAUCAACAAGGCUCAGAAAUGUUUCUACAGCUGUUUAGAUCGUUUUAAUUGUAUCAGAGCCUCUCACAUCAUGGUUUAAGUGAGGCACUAUUUCCCCCCAUUAAAAAAGAGAAUAUGAAGAUAUGAGAGUAUACUAAUCCGCAUGUGAAAGAAAUCACAAUGCAUUUAAAGGUUUCUUUACCAAUAAAAUUAGAUUAGCUAAAGAAACAAAAGGCAUUUGUGUGUUUAUGAUCUAUUUUCAUACUUAACUGCACAAACACGGAGCUGAGAGGACCAGCUGGGUCCCACUUUUCAUUAUCAAAUAUUCCUGGAUUAUUCCCUCUGGCCACUCUAACUCCUUUAUUUGAAAAAAGAACAGGGAAUGGUACUACCUUCCCUAUGUAAAAGUAAAUCUAAUUGAUGACUCACACACAAAAAAACCAUGAUACUUGUUACCAUUUCCUCAAUUUCCAUUCCUCCUUCCAAUAGAAACAUAGUUUUUUUAAAGCAACUAAUUAUUCCAAAAAGAAAAGAACUCACUUAUUCUACCAAUUUUUUGGUUAGUUACUCAGAAUUAUUCCUAGUAAUAUAGACUUGGAUUUUGAGUCCCUCAAUGGGACUGAAGAAUAAGACCAAAUGUUGUCUCAGAAUAAUGAAUGAUUUGACUCAAAGUGAUUUCUUAAAAGCCAAAGUUACCAUUUCAGAAAAUUCUUUCUCUUGUGGUUCAGCGAGCUAUGAAGGAGGUGAACUGAACAGAAUGAGAAUAAAUCAAGAUUGGACUUUUCAUAGGUAUAGAGCCCUUUCUUUGGCUAUCUCAAAAUACUACAAGUAGUACCACUGUCAUAUCUCUCAUGUAAUUAAUAUACUGAGUUUCAUCUUAAAAACCAAGUGCAAAACCAUGAACUUGAGUGAUUUGAGACAGAAAUAUAUGUAUUUGUAUUCAUAAAAGCUUGAACCAGCAAAAAUACCUUUCUAUCUAAUUAUAUUACUUUAGCAAUUAGUUGUGAAAAGAAGUAGUUUUAAUUAACAUUUAUUUUUUUCACUGUUGUAUAUUUUAGGAUUUCAAUUCAUUUUGAUAGAUCUUCAAGUUGAACAUAAAAGAAACUCUCAGACUUUAGGAACCUAUAGGUCAGAGUGGUUCAACUGAAAAAGCAAAGAGAAACAUGCAGACCCGUGGUGACAAAUGGCUGAACCCUACACUUUACUGAAAUUGGACAAGCAAAUGUUUAUAUCACUAAAAAAAAAAAAAAGAAAAGGAAAAAUAAAAAAGAAAAAACCUGGACAAAGUAUUAAGUAGUGAUAGUGAAAAUGACAUGCUCUUAUAAACAGAAUUCAAAUAUUAAAAAUAAUAUUUUUAUGCUUUACAACUUCAAUUACAAUCACUAAACCAAAUGGCAGUGUUAAUAACAAAUACACUGAAAAAAUAUAUGUUAAGUUAGGAAAAACAAAACAACAGGAAAUUGGAAUGUCCUAUAAUAACUAAAAAUGCUGUUGUUAAAAUGCACUUAUUGACAUAGAAAAACGUUUACGUUAUGCUAAAUGUUUAAAGUAAAUUAUAACAGUGUUUAUAUUGUAUAAUGUAACAUAAUACAUAAAUAACAUACUACAUAUAAUAAUAUUUAAAUAGGUAAUAUCAUCUAUUAUUCUAUAAACUACAUAUUCCAGAAGAAUAUACGAUAAAAUUUUGUGGUAAGGAUGUAUUUAUGACUUUGAAUCAUUUCUGUCUCCUAAUUUUCUUCAAUAAACAUAUGUUACUUAUGUAAAAACACUUUUCCAUUUAAUUCUAGAGCCCUUAGGUUCACUCUAGCAGUUAGUUAACAAUAUGUGACUCAGUCUCCUCUGUCUUUCCAGUGAAAUAUUUUCCAAUGAAAUACUAAUAGAAACAAAACAGUAUAAUUUCUCAUCAGCAAAGAAAUUAAAGAAGCUCCAUCAGCUAACAGCAGGAAUUACUUGAAGGAAUUACUCCUAAGUACAGUAUGAAUGAAACCAAUUGAGAAAUUAUGAGGAUCAGCCAAUCAUAAGAAGAUUUAUCCCUCUGCAUUCAUUACCCCUGCCUCCAAACACACCUACAACAGAGAUGCAGAGCCUCAGACCAGAAAAACCUAAAUACUAUAUUAUUCACAAAUUGCCUGCUAAGAUUGUCAGAAUCAUCUCCUAUUCUUGCAUCAGGUCUUCUUAUUUUGUAAGUAUUUGGCAGGCUGUGCUCACAGUGACCUGACAAGGCCAGACACACAAGAGGAACAGCAGGGAAAAGUAGGAAAGAAACAGGAAGAAUACCUGGAGAGUAAGAAAAGGGAAUAUCAACAAUGAAUUAAAGAGAAAUCCAGGCCAGUCAGAGCACUGUCCCUGCUCCUUGGGGGCAGAAGAAAGAGCGGAAGCUGUUUUCCCUUGGGAAGGGAAGGGAGCAUAGAAUUUUCCUCUCCUGCCCAGUACUCUUCAUUGUUCUUAAAGCAAACCCAAUGAGGUAGAAAUAAUUGUGUCUCUUUCACAGGGAGAUCAACAAAGCUCAGAAAGAUAAAUACUUGGCCCCAAAUCACAUAAAGGAGAUCUUAAAAUUCUGAAGCUUCAUAAUCAACCUUAGUACUCCAAAUAAUAAAGUCAGUGUUUUUAAUUACAAAUGCCAAAGAUGAAAUUAAUCCAAUGGCAGCAUCCAUAACCAAUAUAAAUUGAAAGAAUAUGUGCUUUUAUUCAGUCUGUUUUCAAACUAGCAAUUUCUUUAUUUAACUAGUGGUUCUGAUGUCUUUUAAACUAGUAAAAGUAACAAAAUUAUCAUGAUUAUUACUUUUUAUAGUCUCAAUCAUUUUUGAAGGCUUAUGAUUUAUAACAAUGUUAUGAUUUAUUAGUAAGACAAACGACAAGUAAAUAAAUAAAGCCAAUAACUUUCUGGAUGUGCCUCAUCACCAUGACCUACCACUGUUUUCAAAAUAAGUUGAUGGUGGGAUUUGAUUUGUCUCUAACUUAUAGUUUUUUAAUGAUUUAGGAAGACAAAUAAUACCUGUAACCACAUAAACUUCUCAUAUCCUGUUUUGCAUACAAUGUGAACUUCAAAGUAUUUUUAACAGAAAUUUAAUUAGUCCUGGGUAGAUUAGAGAUAAUGGUUGUGGGAUCCUUUUUAUUUGCAUGACUUUUAAAUUCCUUCUGAAAUUUCUACUAUACAUGGUAAUUCUACUUAAACUCCUUUUGAUAGAAAAAUCAGUGCUGUCAACCAAGGACAACAUCCUUUCAAUUCAUACCAAAUAGAGAUUUAAGUACUGCUAAAUCCACUGCCAGCUAAGGACAACCAUAGAUAAGGCAAGGUUGAUUUGAAUCACUUUCCACUAACUAAUGGAGAGCAUUUUUAUUUUACACAGGAUAAUCUUUGGCUGAUAAUCUAAUAUGCAAACUUAGUGUGCAAUUUAUGCAAUUAUGUCAUUAUUAAAGUGUAGCAUCCUAUAUCUUCUGCAGAUUACUAAAUAUGCCCCCUCAUCUAGCAAUCAGAGACCUGUAAAAAAGAUGAAAUUCGUUUCUAUAAGAUAGGUAGAAAAGUCAGUUAGCCUAUGUUUUUCAUCAAAUAGCCUUUGAUUUGAUGCUUAAUAUUAAUUGUUUUUAACUGUGUGAAUGUUAUGUUAUUUAGUGUGUCUAAACCACAAAUGGCUCCUGGCAAGACCUCAUACCAUUAACAAUGAGAUUAGCAGAGGAAAAUUCAAAAACACUCAUGGGGAUUGUUUGUACUGUUUUUUGUUGGGUAUGUUUUUGCUCUGUGGGAUAGAAGACAGUUUAAAACAGCACUGCAUGAAAAAAGAAGCGACUGACCGCAGGUUGCAAGUAUGCUUCAGUGAAGCAGAAGUUUCUACAGCUCCGUCUCAGCAAAGGGGAGGUUUCUAACGGUCCCCUGCUGACUUCAAAUGUGUUCACAGCCUGCACGCAGCAGCCACAGUGGAAACUUACCGGUGUGAUAAUAAUCACUUAGAGUGAGACUGUGGUGCAGACCCUCUUCCCCCAACCAGAAAUCCCCUGAGUAAAAGCUCUAUCCCCUGGGGAGACACAGAGAUGUAAAGACUUGAAAACAGGUGUACCUUUCCCUGACAUUCAGAAAAAUUGGGUAUGAACAGCUUUUCACUCUUCAUAUCCUCAGAGUCCCAAAAUUAGCCCAAGCACAGUGUUUCCUAAUCUUUAGGCAUCUAAGAAAUGCCUUAAAACAUUUGUUGGGACCAUUUUUCACAUGUAAAAAGGGACAAUUUUUGUUAAAAGAAAAAUAAGCCUCUGGUGAGAGAGACAGAGAGAGUGUGUGUGUUUGUGUGUGUGUGUGCAUAUGCAUGUGUGUUUUUCUAUAUAAAUACAGUCCUGGAGUGACACACAGUAUAUGUCUCUGUAACAUGAGGUACAGGAUAGAAGGGCAACUAUUCCUUUUAUUUUUCAUAUUUCUGCAUUGCUUGCCUUUGUUACAAUUACUGUUUGGUAGGUUUAUAAUUAUUUUUAAAACUUGCUUUCACAGUUAUUUUGAACCGUCUCCUCGGAUGAAGGUGAACUAUGUACACUUUCUAAAAAAGCGAACUUAACUUUUUGCAAAAGGUGUGGUAUGCAAAAUGUGUGCAUAACAAACUGUUGUGCAAGGAUCAACAUCUUAUGAUUCAUUAAAUUCAUGAAGGUGAUUUUUAAUUUGAUUCCACUUUUUUUUUUAUUAUUUACAGAUUACAGAGUGCUUUGCCCACUCCUGGCCGUAUGUUAGGCAACCCCAUCCCCUCUCAAGAACAUAUCAUUUUUGUUACAUUAUAAUAACACUUAAGAUAUUACAAUGAGUUAUUAUAUUUAAGGAGUAAUAUAAUAAAAGCAAACCUAAAAAUAUCAAAGUUCAAGAAAAUACUUCAUAAAACACAAAUAUUUUUGCUACAUUGAACUGAGAUAUCAUGUACUGCUGUCAAACCAUUUUCUAACAAGAACUCUAAAUGCUCGCACUGGUGUAUUAAAAAUUCACUCAGCAGGUGGGCAAAUGUUGUAAGGAUCAAGCAGAACAAGAGAACACAAAAGCAGUUCUAGUUUGUACAUAGGUGGACAUGGUGAUGGGCCCUCAGGAAUCUAGAUACUCUAUUAAUUAUCUCCCACAUUCUUAUUUUUCUACUCUAGCCAAACUCACAUAAGAUUGGAAAACAGAAUUUCUGGGGAAUCAAUAGCAUGUUCUUUCUCCAGCUGUGCCUGCUAAUACUAGAGAAAAGCUAACCUUACCUUUAGAAUUAAAAGAUCUAUGAAAGCAAAAAGACAGCUUAAUUAGGGACACAUUUUAGAGUCACCUGGGGACCAUUUUAAAUGCAUAGCUCCCAAGGCAGGCUAACUGAACAGAAUUUGUGGGGACGAAGCCCUAACAUGUAUAUACAUAUUAAAUAUAUUUUAUAUUUAAACCUCCAC